rnacentral:rRNA from 1 species
UACGGGGGGGGCAAGCGUUGUUCGGAAUUACUGGGCGUAAAGGGCUCGUAGGCGGCCAACUAAGUCAGACGUGAAAUCCCUCGGCUUAACCGGGGAACUGCGUCUGAUACUGGUUGGCUUGAAUCCGGGAGAGGGAUGUGGAAUUCCAGGUGUAGCGGUGAAAUGCGUAGAUAUCUGUAGGAACACCGGUGGCGAAGGCGGCAUCCUGGACCAACACUGACACUGAGGAGCGAAAGCCAGGGGAGCAAACGGG